UGGGGAAUUUUGGACAAUGGGCGCAAGCCUGAUCCAGCCAUGCCGCGUGCGGGAAGAAGGCCUUCGGGUUGUAAACCGCUUUUGUCAGGGAAGAAAUCUUCUGAGUUAAUACCUCGGGAGGAUGACGGUACCUGAAGAAUAAGCACCGGCUAACUACGUGCCAGCAGCCGCGGUAAUACGUAGGGUGCAAGCGUUAAUCGGAAUUACUGGGCGUAAAGCGUGCGCAGGCGGUUUUGUAAGACAGAGGUGAAAUCCCCGGGCUCAACCUGGGAACUGCCUUUGUGACUGCAAGGCUUGAGUGCGGCAGAGGGGGAUGGAAUUCCGCGUGUAGCAGUGAAAUGCGUAGAUAUGCGGAGGAACACCGAUGGCGAAGGCAAUCCCCUGGGCCUGCACUGACGCUCAUGCACGAAAGCGUGGGGAGCAAACAGGAUUAGAUACCCUGGUAGUCCACGCCCUAAACGAUGUCAACUGGUUGUUGGGAAGGUUCCUUCUCAGUAACGUAGCUAACGCGUGAAGUUGACCGCCUGGGGAGUACGGCCGCAAGGUUGAAAACUCAAAAUGAAUUGACGGGGUCAUAGCUGUUUCC
rnacentral:rRNA from 1 species